GCUGACCUGAAGGUUGCCGAUUUGAAUCCAACCUGGGGAGAAUCCAAAUGAGCUCCCUUUCAGCUCCAGCUCCAUGCAGGGACAUGAGAAAAGCCUCCCACAAGGAUGACUCAGGGCCAUGGCUUCCUUUAUGGAGUCUACCCAUCUGGAAUGUGGUCUUCCUCUUUUCCUACUACCAUUACAUACGAGUGGAUAAAAUGACAGCAGAAAGGAAGCGACAAAACUGCUCCAUCCUCUCUUCAUAUUCAAGAGUUGUUAAGCAUGUCAUUUCUGUUUCCAGAAUCUUGCUCACAAAAUCUCUGGACUGUAAAUGGGAUACCAAACGGAUAGAUCAGUCAACUAGAACUUGAAUUGAUUAAUCCAUCUCCGCAGAUUUAAGUGGAAAGUCUAAACAUUAACAGCAGCUUUUGUUUUUGAGGCUAUUUUGAUUCUGGUGUGUUACUCUCAAAGAGAAUUUCAAAAGAAAAUAUCAAAGAUGACCUUGCCUAUAAACAAUGAGUCAUACUUCUUGUUUAUUAAAGCCUGAGUUUUCAACUUGUUUCCAUCAGUAUUUCAUAAAGUCCAGCCGUUGAGAUUUUAUUCAGAUGUUGUUUAUUUGAAAAUGUUAGUUGGUGGGUAGAUUUAUUAGUCCACUGAAAUGCUUUAAUCAGUUGACAGGUUCAAAUGUUCUAUGUAAAUGUAAAAAUGGCAAUUUGCAUUUCAAGGACACAUAUAUAAAAAAAAUAAUUCACAAAUCUAAACAUUGCUUUUGUGGUCAAUAGCACCAAAUCCUAUGAAUUUACUAGUUUGUAAAUUCUUAGAUGCCCUGUACUAAUUUGACUGGGGAUAUAUUACUAGUUGAAUUUUUAAAAAGGUGCCUAUUUUUUUUUCUAACUAAUGUGGAUCUAUUCUUAAUACUUGUGCAUUCAUGUUAGAUUAGUAGAUAGGUUGUUGUUGCUUUAAGAGUCAAACUUAUAUUGCUGCAGAACAGCUGUUGAUGAGCUUUAGGGCAAAUACAAUUUUUGUUUUAUAAAUCCCUUCAGGUGCUUGAAUGCCAUAACAGCACCAUGCCAGGUGAACACAGAGGACACAGAACCAGUUUUUAAGCUUGUAACUCCCUUCUAACUGCCAUGUCAAGUGAAAUAGAGAAGGUUUUACAAAAGGCAGUCAUUAAAUAUCACAUUCUUCUGCCAGGAAUGACACACAACUAGUUGAUAACGAGAAGCAAUAAAGACACAAA
rnacentral:lncRNA from 11 species